CGGCCUUCGGGACUCGGAAAAAGAGAAGGUUUUCUUUUACAGUAAAUGUCCACCUGCACCCUGGAGCGAAUACAAUCUCGAUUCUCAGUAUAGCAGUCGGAUUGCAGAAUAUUGGUACACAUUUUGAGACAUGGAACAUAGGAUUCCUAGGACCAGUUGUUCUACAAGGGCUAGUUGAAGGAAAAAGGCAGUUAACCUGGCAGAAAUGGUCAUACAAAGUUGGCCUUAAAGGAGAAGCCAACAAUCUAGGUUCUCCAACCUCUAUCUAAUCAACCGAUUGGAUUCGAGGAUCGUUGGCAACUCUGGUACAACAUCCAUUAACAUGGUACAAGGCAUUUUUUGAUGCUCCGGAAGGAGAUGAUCCCUUAUCUUUGGACAUGUCGAGCAUGGGAAAAGGCCAAAUAUGGAUCAACGGACAGAGCAUAGGCCGGUACUGGACUACUCCCGCGAACGGUAAUUGUAGCGGAUGCAACUACGUCGGUGCAUUUCGUCAAACCAAAUGUCAUUUCGGUUGUGGCAGUCUUUCUCAACAAUGGUACCAUGUUCCGAGGUCCUGGUUGAAACCAACCCAGAAUUUAUUGGUGGUUUUCGAAGAAAUCGGGGGAGAUGCAUCGAAGAUGUCGCUUGUAAAACGAUUGGUGAAA